UACGGAGGGAGCUAGCGUUGUUCGGAAUUACUGGGCGUAAAGCGCACGUAGGCGGCGAUUUAAGUCAGGGGUGAAGGCCCGGUGCUCAACACCGGAACUGCCUUUGAGACUGGAUUGCUUGAAUCACGGAGAGGUGGGUGGAAUUCCGAGUGUAGAGGUGAAAUUCGUAGAUAUUCGCAAGAACACCAGUGGCGAAGGCGGCUCACUGGCCCGGUACUGACGCUGAGGUGCGAAAGCGUGGGGAGCAAACAGG
rnacentral:rRNA from 1 species